AUUGAACGCUGGCGGCAUGCCUUACACAUGCAAGUCGAACGGCAGCGGGCCUUCGGGUGCCGGCGAGUGGCGAACGGGUGAGUAAUGCAUCGGAACGUGCCAUUGAGUGGGGGGAUAACGUAGCAAAAGUUACGCUAAUACCGCAUAUUCUGUGAGCAGGAAAGCAGGGGGAUCGCAAGACCUUGCGUUCUGGGAGCGGCCGAUGUCGGAUUAGCUAGUUGGUGGGGUAAAAGCCUACCAAGGCGACGAUCCGUAGCGGGUCUGAGAGGAUGAUCCGCCACACUGGGACUGAGACACGGCCCAGACUCCUACGGGAGGCAGCAGUGGGAAUUUGGACAAUGGGCGGAAGCCUGAUCCAGCCAUGCCGCGUGAGUGAAGAAGGCCU
rnacentral:rRNA from 1 species